AGACAGUACUUGGUAUAGUUUUUUGUCUGCCUAUCACGUUUGUUGUUGUUGUUGUGGAAGGAGUCGAACGUAUUGCCUUAUUUUACGUAUUUUCCUUUGUUUUUUUUCUGUAUAUUUGCUUUGUUUAAUUUUGAAGUUAGGUUGCGGCGAUUCUGGGCAUUGCAUUUUGUGGACCAGCCAGCAUUCAGCAACCCGAAAAGCUGAGGGACCAGGCCUCAAGACGCUCGGACAGCUGUCAACCACUGCGGCAGUUUUCCUAAGGAAGCAUUCAGUACAACGCGCGUGGGUGUGAUGCGAGGACGUCUGAAAAUACCACCUCAAGUUCAGCAACUUAGACCCACCAGCCAGCUGAGAAGUACACGCAGCAAACCAUAUGGGAGGACGGCGUACAGGCAGGGAUGGUGGCCAAGCAAAGGGAUCAAGAAGUUUAAAACCAGACUUAAAAUUCAGAAACAGAGAGACAACAGCCCCAGAAUUUUUUACUCUCUCGUACGUUCGAAUUGUGACCUGAACUUCCAUUUUGCCUUAAAGUAACAGAAUAUGUUAGAGGGCGUCUGUUAAACGCUUUCUUCGUAAAAAAAAAAGAACAUCUAUACUGUCUUAGAGUUCAUUGUAGGGAUGACCACUGUAUUUGCUUGUUUUUAAUUAGAACACAUCAACGUCAGAAGUUGUCCAGGAAGUGACAUGUUUUUCGUUGUAAUGUUGAGAAACAACUAGUUAUUAAAUCGG